CAGACAGACAGGGGGAGCAAGAUGGAAUCACAGACCCGGGUCCUCAUUUCCCUGCUGCUCUGGAUAUCUGGUACCUGUGGGGACAUUGUGAUGACCCAGUCUCCAUCCUCCCUGGCUGUGUCAGCAGGAGAGACAGUCACUAUAAACUGCAAGUCCAGUCAGAGUCUUUUUUGGAGUGGAAGCCAAAAGAACUACUUGGCCUGGUACCAGCAGAAACCAGGGCAGUCUCCUAAACUGCUGAUCUACUAUGCAUCCACUAGGGAAUCUGGUGUCCCUGAUCGAUUCAUAGGCAGUGGGUCUGGGACAGACUUCACUCUGACCAUCAGCAGUGUGCAGGCUGAAGACCUGGCUGUUUAUUACUGUCAGCAUCAUUAUAACAGCCCAAUCACAUUCACUGGGGGUUCAGUCGGGCUCUAUCAUUCCAGUCGUGGUGAGUAUGGAUUCCGAAAGUAG